AAAUCAGAACUUGGCUACCUUGUUAUCCAAUUACCUGCCACGCAUCCAAAAUGGAAACCAUCCCCAUUUCUUCCAUAUGUGCUGGAAUAUUUAUGAAUUUAAGUUACCGUUAAUUUUCUUUACAAACCCAGAGAUGUCACUAACAAGUCUGAUUUUAAUAUUGGGCGAGCAGAAUUGCUAUUUGAGGUUUUCGGCUAUAGACACGAGUGGCGUGUGGGCUGAGAUGAAAUGCUGGGGCUUUGGUGAUGAAUGAGCCCUCACAACAGCUGUCCUAUCAAUGAGGAUGGAAAGAGCAUCUGAACCUCGAGUUUAUAUUUCUAGAAAAUUCUCUUGUCUUCCUCGUUCUCCCCUCCCCGUCCCCCCCUAUUAUUCCUUUGCUAUUUUUGCGAGGUUUAGAACAUCCAAAUCUAAUCAUAACUGUCUAGAUGUGCUAAAUGACCAAGAAAGACUUGACAGCUUAACAGAGCAAAUUGAGCCUGAUGGGGAGAUGGCCACCCUCCAGGAUACAUGAGAAAGAGAGGUUUCUAGUUUACUGACAGAUGUGGGGUAGAACCUGGAUUCAGAUUAGAGUUCUAUAGUUUACCGGCGGCAAGAAGGCCAUACGCAGAUGAUCUAACCAGGGGUCCUCAAACUUUUUAAAGUGGGGGCCAGAUCACGGUCCCUCAGAGAGCUGGAGGGCCGGACUAUAUGAUCUACUAAUUCC